UAUACAAAUGUCAAAACUGCACCUGCUUUUCAGUAUAUCAUGAGGGAUCCAUCAAGCGUUUUAUGCUGCAAAUCACACCAACAAGGUUCCAUAUCCUAGAUUAGGGCAGCGUAAUCUUAACUGAGUUAGUAGAAUCAAAGCAAUAAAGAAAGAGACUUACAGCCAAUCGGUGUUCUCCUGUAAUUUGUCUUUCCGGCCAGGGUUGCAUUUCCAGAUUCGAAGAGGUAAAGUAGAAUCAAAGCCCUUGUAAUUUCCUGAAAGCUAGUGAGGGGAAUAUGAUUAGGAUGGAGAUGGUCUGAGAGCGGGAUAUUGAGAAGGAAGUGAAGC
rnacentral:lncRNA from 1 species